rnacentral:rRNA from 1 species
GCGCAGCAGGCGAGAAACUUCACAAUGUGCGAAAGCACGAUGAGGGAAUCCCAAGUGCUUGCACGUAAGUGUAAGCUGUUUCUCUGUCUAAAACGCAGAGAGAGUAAGGGCUGGGUAAGACGGGUGCCAGCCGCCGCGGUAAUACCUGCAGCCCAAGUGGUGACCGUUAUUAUUGGGGCCUAAAAACGUCCGUAGCCGGUUUAAUAAAUGCCUGGGUAAAAUUGUGUAGCUUAACUAUACGAAUUCCGGGUAGACUGUUAAACUUGAGACCGGGAGAAGUUAGAGGUACUCCUGGGGUAGAGGUGAAAUUCUGUAAUCCUAGGGGGACCACCAGUGGCGAAGGCGUCUAACUAGAACGGGUCUGACGGUGAGGGACGAAGCCCUGGGGCGCAAACGGGAUUAGAUACCCGUGUAGU